GCCCCCGUAGCUCAGCUGGAUAGAGCGAGAGACUUCUAAUCUCUGGGCCGCAGGUUCGAGUCCUGCCGGGGGCG
rnacentral:tRNA from 1 species